CCUACGGGAGGCAGCAGUGGGGGAUAUUGCACAAUGGGGGGAACCCUGAUGCAGCGACGCCGCGUGGGUGAAGGAGCGUUUCGGCGCGUAAAGCCCUAUCGGCAGGGAAGAAGGAGGACGGUACCUGACUAAGAAGCCCCUGCUAACUACGUGCCAGCAGCCGCGGUAAUACGUAGGGGGCAAGCGUUAUCCGAAUUUACUGGGUGUAAAGGGGGCGCAGACGGCAGCGCAAGUCAGAUGUGAAAACCACGGGCUCAACCUGUGGCCUGCAUUUGAAACUGUGUUUCUUGAGUACUGGAGAGGCAGACGGAAUUCCUAGUGUAGCGGUGAAAUGCGUAGAUAUUAGGAGGAACACCAGUGGCGAAGGCGGUCUGCUGGACAGCAACUGACGCUGAGGCGCGAAAGCGUGGGGAGCAAACAGGAUUAGAUACCCCUGUAGUC
rnacentral:rRNA from 1 species